rnacentral:tRNA from 1 species
GCGGGCGUGGCCAAGUGGUAAGGCAAAGGCUUCCCAAGCCUUCAUUUCGCGGGUUCGAGUCCCGUCGCCCGCUCCA